GAUCACCCCAACAUUUCAGGCACCCAACGUGGGGCUAUGAACACCCCGGUGAAGGAACACUAGAGCAUGUGGAAGCAGAAGACGCAUUGUCAGAGGACACCUGAGGACAACUGAAAGAAGCUCGGGAAAAGUUCAGAACACCAGCAACCUACAUUGGAUGGGACCACUUCUGACUCCAGGGAUUGCCACUCAAAAUCUUUCUGAGAUUAACACCCACAUCCAAUAAGGUUUGUGGUCUCUGAAAACUUAUCUACACUUAUUGGACUCUGCUAGUGCACAAAGGAGAAAAAAAGG